CGUCUAACUCAAUUGGUAGAGCGCAAGGCUCUCAAACUUGUGGUCGUGGGUUCAAGCCCCAUGGUG
rnacentral:tRNA from 1 species